GACGAACGCUGGCGGCGUGCUUAACACAUGCAAGUCGAACGGAAAGGCCCUGCUUUUGUGGGGUGCUCGAGUGGCGAACGGGUGAGUAACACGUGAGUAACCUGCCCUUGACUUUGGGGUAAAUUCAGGAAAAUGGGGCUAAUACAGGAUAGGAGAUCCUGCAGCAUGGGGGGGGAUGGUAAGUUUCGGCGGUAGGGGAUGGAAUGGAGGGUUAUCAGCUUGAUGGUGGGGUAGUGGCUGACCAAGGCUUUGACGGGUAGGCGGCCUGGGAGGGGGGACGGGCACCAUAGGACUGAGGUACGGCCCAGUCGGCAACGGGAGGCAGCAGUGGGAAAUAUUGCAGAACAAGCGGAAGCCUGAGGUGGAGGCGCCGCGAGCGGAAUGACGGCCUUCGAGGUAUAAACAGAUGUCGCCUGUGACGAAGAGGGAUUGACGGUAAUGGAUAAAGAAGCACCGGCUAACUACGUG
rnacentral:rRNA from 1 species